UCUCGUUCACUAGGGUUUGUGUUGUUUGAUCAAUCGCAUACCUAGGCCUCGUGUUGUAAUAUUACGACUGUAUCCCUCCUAGAUUUAGAGGUUUAUUAGAUCUUGUUUUGAUUCAUAAUUCAUGUGGAUGGUUUUCACUUUCAGGCCAAAUCAUCAUAAAUCAUAAUCAAUGGGGUUCAAAUUUGCUCCACAUGAUGAGUCGUCUAUGAAUGUUUCUCACAAGUCUGUUGCUGUUUCGGCUC